CCCUGGGUGGUGCAAACCGUCAGCAUGAUUAGCUGCUAACCAAAGGUUGGUGGUUCAAGUCCACCCAAAGGCG
rnacentral:tRNA from 1 species